UGUAUGUGUUUGUGAUGUGUGUGUGUGUGUGUGUGUCUAUUUGCAUACAUGCAUGCAUACAACACACACACACACACACACACAUACA
rnacentral:pre_miRNA from 1 species